CUGCUCCAAGCUUUCAUUUUUCCCCACUCCGGCGGUCGGAUUUGCGGCCGCGCUGCUAGAUUUUCGGUGCUUGUGGAUGGAAUCGGCUGCUGGCGACGGGGAUCUGCUGCUGGCGACGGGCACCGGCUGCUGGCGACGGGUACCAGCUGCUGGUGAUGGUGAGCAGCUGCUAGGGACGGCUAAUGGUAUCGAUGGUGAGCAGCUGCUGGCGAUGACUGCUGGCGAUGGGGAGCAGUUGCUGACCAGUUCGUCAUCUCCGUCACGUACGUCAACUACGAGAUGCAGCCCCCAGUGCUGGAGCAGACGUCAUGCCCCUCGAUAACCGUGAUGCAUUCUGAUCCAGGGAAGAGCUUUCGGAAGAUGUAGACAAAUAUGCAGCAUUUUGCUUCUUCAUAUCCGUUUGAUGUUCAGUCACUGCAGAAAGGAUAUGCUGGAGUCUCUUGGAAAUACAAAAUGAUGCCGUAUCCUGCUUUAUCAAGCUGGUUUAUCUGAUGGGCUUCCUAAGUUUGUGAAGGCUGAAGGAUAUGCUGGAUUGUACAAGGGGAUUGUUCCACUAUGGCAGUAAGUUUCUGUUCCUGCUUAUUGUAACCAAAAUUUUGUUUCAUUCUUUUAAAAAAAUGUUUGGCCUCCUCGUAGACAUCUGCUACUCUAAU